rnacentral:rRNA from 1 species
GAUGAACGCUGGCGGCGUGCCUAACACAUGCAAGUCGAACGAAGCGACUCAAAGUUUUCGGACAGAGAGUUGACUGAGUGGCGGACGGGUGAGUAACGCGUGGAUAACCUGCCUAAUACAGGGGGAUAACAGUUAGAAAUGACUGCUAAUACCGCAUAAGCGCACAGUACCGCAUGGUACAGUGUGAAAAACUCCGGUGGUAUGAGAUGGAUCCGCGUCUGAUUAGCUAGUUGGCGGGGUAACGGCCCACCAAGGCGACGAUCAGUAGCCGACCUGAGAGGGUGACCGGCCACAUUGGGACUGAGACACGGCCCAAACUCCUACGGGAGGCAGCAGUGGGGAAUAUUGCACAAUGGGCGAAAGCCUGAUGCAGCGACGCCGCGUGAGUGAAGAAGUAUUUCGGUAUGUAAAGCUCUAUCAGCAGGGAAGAAAAUGACGGUACCUGACUAAGAAGCCCCGGCUAACUACGUGCCAGCAGCCGCGGUAAAAC